rnacentral:rRNA from 1 species
GACGUAGGGUGCGAGCGUUGUCCGGAUUUAUUGGGCGUAAAGAGCUCGUAGGCGGCUCGUCGCGUCAUCCGUGAAAUUUUGGGGCUCAACCCUGAGAUUGCGGUUGAUACGGGCGGGCUUGAGUUCGGUAGGGGAGACUGGAAUUCCUGGUGUAGCGGUGAAAUGCGCAGAUAUCAGGAGGAACACCAAUAGCGAAGGCAGCUCGCUGGGACGGUACUGACGCUGAGACGCGAAAGCGUGGGGAGCGAACAGG